rnacentral:rRNA from 1 species
UACAGAGGUCUCAAGCGUUUGUUCGGAUUCAUUGGGCGUAAAGGGUGCGUAGGUGGCGGGGUUAGUCAGGUGUGAAAUCUCGGGGCUCAACCCGAAACUGCCACUUGAUACUGCCUUGCUAGAGUACUGGAGAGGAGAUUGGAAUUACGGUGUAGCAGUGAAAUGCGUAGAUAUCGUAAGGAAGACCAGUGGCGAAGGCGAAUCUCUGGACAGUUACUGACACUGAGGCACGAAGGCCAGGGAGCAAACGGG